rnacentral:rRNA from 1 species
UACGGAGGGGGCUAGCGUUGUUCGGAAUUACUGGGCGUAAAGCGCACGUAGGCGGCUUUGUAAGUUAGAGGUGAAAGCCCGGGGCUCACCCCCGGAAGUGCAUUGGAAACUGGCGGACUCGAGUCCCGGAGAGGAGGGUGGAAUUCCUGGUGUAGCGGUGAAAUGCGUAGAUAUCAGGAGGAACACCGGUGGCGAAGGCGGCCCUCUGGACGGUGACUGACGCUGAGACGCGAAAGCGUGGGGAGCAAACAGG